rnacentral:rRNA from 1 species
AUUGAACGCUGGCGGCAGGCCUAACACAUGCAAGUCGAACGGCAGCACAGAAGAGCUUGCUCUUUGGGUGGCGAGUGGCGGACGGGUGAGUAAUGUCUGGGAAACUGCCCGAUGGAGGGGGAUAACUACUGGAAACGGUAGCUAAUACCGCAUAACGUCGCAAGACCAAAGUGGGGGACCUUCGGGCCUCACACCAUCGGAUGUGCCCAGAUGGGAUUAGCUAGUAGGUGGGGUAAUGGCUCACCUAGGCGACGAUCCCUAGCUGGUCUGAGAGGAUGACCAGCCACACUGGAACUGCGACACGGUCCAGACUCCUACGGGAGGCAGCAGGGGGGAAUAUUGCACAAUGGGCGCAAGCCUGAUGCAGCCAUGCCGCGUGUAUGAAGAAGGCCUUCGGGUUGUAAAGUACUUUCAGCGGGGAGGAAGGCGGUGAGGUUAAUAACCUCGCCGAUUGACGUUACCCGCAGAAGAAGCACCGGCUAACUCCGUGCCAGCAGCCGCCGUAA